rnacentral:rRNA from 1 species
AUGGGGCCUCUCCUCAGAUGUGCUCACAAUCUCAUGCCGCAUACUAUAUUUCGGGCAUCUGACCACAUUGCAACUACAUAUGCUGAGCUCAGAGAUGGUACUGCAAAUGCAAAGUCUGGUGGAGGUACCCUUCCAAUUACUGCCAGGAAACUGGAAACAAUAAUUCGUCUAUCUACUGCCCAUGCAAAGAUGAAACUGAGACACGAGGUUCUGAAAACUGAUGUCGAGGCUGCACUGCAAGUUCUGAUUUUUGCAAUAUUCCGCAAGGAAUUGACUGGCAUGGAAGACCGUGAGCAGAGGGAGACUGAGAAACAACAAGCUGAACAAGAUGCAGGUGCAGGUGGUGAUAAUGUAGAUAGGCCUGGAGGAGCAAGUGGUGGCUAUGCAGACGGGUAUGGAAGAUCUGGCAACGACCCAAUGGAUGUGGAUGUAGGCUCAGGCAAUGCAUCAAAUGAUCAGGAUGUUUCUUCAGAGAAUGGAAGCAUUUGA